GUCAAAAUUACAGUUGAAGACUGACAAAUGAAUAGCGUCUGAAGGUUAACUUUCGGGACACCAACUGUUUGAUGAAAUUCCUCUAAGAAAAUUUGCUUGCUUUACUCAGCAAGCUGUGCAUUUGUUUUUACCUGCUAGAAAUGGUCAUCUUUUGCAGAUUUGUUGUUGCGAUGUAAGCGUCAUUUCUUUUUGCUCUGGGGCAUUUAUUAUGUUUCAAAAUCUCCGCAGUAUGGCUCUUGUGAGUGUUCCUGCUCUCCAAUUCAUGACUUGUGAUAUCUUUGGAAAUCACUCAAAAGCUUUUAACUUUCUCCCUGUACGAACUACCAGUAAGUGGAAAGACUUCAAAUUUCUUACUCUCGAUUAUUCUUUGUUGAUCAUGUAUAGAGUACAUGGUAAAUGAAUGUUUCUGGGUUUAUGCUUGGAUGUUAGAAGAUUUUCUCAUCUUUCAAUCAUUCUUUGUUUUAAAUAGGAUUUUAGCUUUUGUUGUCAAAUUUUAAUAUGUAAUUUUCAUGGUAGAUUUUCAGGUGAUGACGUUGGUGGCGAAACGAAGGGCAAAUACUCGGAAAGAAACUGCAAAAACCAUAAACAUAAGAAGGCGAAAGAAGGUAGCCUUGCAAACAGUUAUGCCAUUAUCCUUUUAGUGGCGUUUUUAUGCUUCGAAGUCAUGCUAUUUAAUAAUCCAUAUUAAGUAGGUCCUGCCCAGAAGAUAAUAAACAAAAUGGUGAUGAUCUAAGUCAAUAUAAUACUAUAUUAUUAAAGAUAACUAUGGUAUUAGGAUAUCCUGAUUUAGUGUACAGAAGUAAAGCAUAGAUCUGAUUAAUCAAUAUUUUGCUGAGAAACUUUGACUGAACCAUGGAAAAGUGGAAAAGUUCUUGAUCUAUCUGUUCUAUAGCAUUUUCACAAUGGUGGGUCUUUCUGAUUUUAAUGGUUUGAAAUAUGGUUACCUACUGUGAUUUCAAGUCCUUGCUCUCUCUCAGUCAUUGCAGUGUGCGGCUGUAUCACUGUAUAGCAUUAAGUAAUUUAUGUUCACAAUGGGUUGACCUCCUGUUGGCAAGUUUUCCCUGGAAAUUUUUUUCUUGGUCCAACUUGUUACCUAUCUGUUAUUGUAUUGACUUUGGAAUUUCUACACCAGUUUAAUGGCACAUCUACAAAACCGCGGCUGUCAGUGUUCUGUUCAACUAAGCAGUUAUACGCUAUGCUGGUAGAUGACCAAAACAAGAAGUGUUUAUUUUAUGGAAGCACUUUGCAGAAAUCUUUGCGUGACAAUCCCCCUCGUAGCAAAAUGGUAAGUACUCCAUCAAGAUUAGAAAAACCCGGGGAUAAGAUGAUCAGAAAAUAAUAGAAAUCCAGUAGCACUUACAGUUGCUGCUUGAAAUUUUAUCUUAGCCACCACUUUAAUUUUGAUAUCCAUUUGGUACAGUGUGGUUAUCUUAAAGGCUUGUUUCUUUCUAGUUCUUUUUUUCAUCACAUUGCUGCUUAUUCUUUUUCUGUUCACAGGAAGCUGCUGAAUGUCUUGGUGAAGAACUUGUUAAGGCUUGUGUAAAUCUUAAUAUUAAUGAAAUAUCAUCUUAUGAUUGCAAUGGUUAUCCUCGAGGGGAAAGAAUACAAGCGUUUGAGAUUGCAAUUUCCCGGCAUGGAUUCUUAC
rnacentral:misc_RNA from 1 species